rnacentral:rRNA from 1 species
UACACUCCUACGGGAGGCAGCAGUGGGGAAUAUUGGACAAUGGGCGCAAGCCUGAUCCAGUCAUGCCGCGUGAGUGAUGAAGGCCCUAGGGUUGUAAAGCUCUUUCACCGGUGAAGAUAAUGACGGUAACCGGAGAAGAAGCCCCGGCUAACUUCGUGCCAGCAGCCGCGGUAAUACGAAGGGGGCUAGCGUUGUUCGGAUUUACUGGGCGUAAAGCGCACGUAGGCGGACUAUUAAGUCAGGGGUGAAAUCCCGGGGCUCAACCCCGGAACUGCCUUUGAUACUGGUAGUCUUGAGUUCGAGAGAGGUGAGUGGAAUUCCGAGUGUAGAGGUGAAAUUCGUAGAUAUUCGGAGGAACACCAGUGGCGAAGGCGGCUCACUGGCUCGAUACUGACGCUGAGGUGCGAAAGCGUGGGGAGCAAACAGGAUUAGAUACCCGGGUAGUCCCA